AUGGACCGUCCAGUUCAGUUCAGUUCGCCACUGGCGCCACAAGUUCAGUUCACCGCAGCCGGGAGCUCCUCCGGCCACUCACAGACGGCUCAAAGGCCUAUGUAUAACCAUCCACCAGAUGAUCCUGAUGAUACAGAUCAACAACAUGAUAGUGAUGCCAGAAACACUACAUAUCCAACAGAGUUAUACACACUUGAUGAAUUCCUAGCCGAGGAGGACAUGCUAGACUCCUUCGCCGAGGAGAUUGCUGUGGAGUUGAAGGGAACACUUGAGGCUCUUCAAGCAAGAUCACUUAGCAGAAGUGGUCCGAGGAUAUACGUGAAUAGACCGCGUGAAGAAGCACAUCAACAGCUUGUACGAGAUUACUUCCGCGACAAUCCUCUCUGCCGCGCCAAAAAAAAUCGGAGAAGAUUCAGGAUGAGACGACCUCUCUUUCUUCGCUCGUCAAUGCGCUAG
rnacentral:rRNA from 1 species